UUAAGCGACUAAGCGUACACGGUGGAUGCCCUGGCAGUCAGAGGCGAUGAAGGACGUGCUAAUCUGCGAUAAGCGUCGGUAAGGUGAUAUGAACCGUUAUAACCGGCGAUUUCCGAAUGGGGAAACCCAGUGUGAUUCGUCACACUAUCAUUAACUGAAUCCAUAGGUUAAUGAGGCGAACCGGGGGAACUGAAACAUCUAAGUACCCCGAGGAAAAGAAAUCAACCGAGAUUCCCCAAGUAGCGGCGAGCGAACGGGGAGCAGCCCAGAGCCUGAAUCAGUGUGUGUGUUAGUGGAAGCGUCUGGAAAGGCGCGCGAUACAGGGUGACAGCCCCGUACACAAAAAUGCACAUGCUGUGAGCUCGAUGAGUAGGGCGGGACACGUGGUAUCCUGUCUGAAUAUGGGGGGACCAUCCUCCAAGGCUAAAUACUCCUGACUGACCGAUAGUGAACCAGUACCGUGAGGGAAAGGCGAAAAGAACCCCGGCGAGGGGAGUGAAAAAGAACCUGAAACCGUGUACGUACAAGCAGUGGGAGCACGCUUAGGCGUGUGACUGCGUACCUUUUGUAUAAUGGGUCAGCGACUUAUAUUCUGUAGCAAGGUUAACCGAAUAGGGGAGCCGAAGGGAAACCGAGUCUUAACUGGGCGUUAAGUUGCAGGGUAUAGACCCGAAACCCGGUGAUCUAGCCAUGGGCAGGUUGAAGGUUGGGUAACACUAACUGGAGGACCGAACCGACUAAUGUUGAAAAAUUAGCGGAUGACUUGUGGCUGGGGGUGAAAGGCCAAUCAAACCGGGAGAUAGCUGGUUCUCCCCGAAAGCUAUUUAGGUAGCGCCUCGUGAAUUCAUCUCCGGGGGUAGAGCACUGUUUCGGCAAGGGGGUCAUCCCGACUUACCAACCCGAUGCAAACUGCGAAUACCGGAGAAUGUUAUCACGGGAGACACACGGCGGGUGCUAACGUCCGUCGUGAAGAGGGAAACAACCCAGACCGCCAGCUAAGGUCCCAAAGUCAUGGUUAAGUGGGAAACGAUGUGGGAAGGCCCAGACAGCCAGGAUGUUGGCUUAGAAGCAGCCAUCAUUUAAAGAAAGCGUAAUAGCUCACUGGUCGAGUCGGCCUGCGCGGAAGAUGUAACGGGGCUAAACCAUGCACCGAAGCUGCGGCAGCGACACUAUGUGUUGUUGGGUAGGGGAGCGUUCUGUAAGCCUGUGAAGGUGUACUGUGAGGUAUGCUGGAGGUAUCAGAAGUGCGAAUGCUGACAUAAGUAACGAUAAAGCGGGUGAAAAGCCCGCUCGCCGGAAGACCAAGGGUUCCUGUCCAACGUUAAUCGGGGCAGGGUGAGUCGACCCCUAAGGCGAGGCCGAAAGGCGUAGUCGAUGGGAAACAGGUUAAUAUUCCUGUACUUGGUGUUACUGCGAAGGGGGGACGGAGAAGGCUAUGUUGGCCGGGCGACGGUUGUCCCGGUUUAAGCGUGUAGGCUGGUUUUCCAGGCAAAUCCGGAAAAUCAAGGCUGAGGCGUGAUGACGAGGCACUACGGUGCUGAAGCAACAAAUGCCCUGCUUCCAGGAAAAGCCUCUAAGCAUCAGGUAACAUCAAAUCGUACCCCAAACCGACACAGGUGGUCAGGUAGAGAAUACCAAGGCGCUUGAGAGAACUCGGGUGAAGGAACUAGGCAAAAUGGUGCCGUAACUUCGGGAGAAGGCACGCUGAUAUGUAGGUGAAGUCCCUCGCGGAUGGAGCUGAAAUCAGUCGAAGAUACCAGCUGGCUGCAACUGUUUAUUAAAAACACAGCACUGUGCAAACACGAAAGUGGACGUAUACGGUGUGACGCCUGCCCGGUGCCGGAAGGUUAAUUGAUGGGGUCAGCGCAAGCGAAGCUCUUGAUCGAAGCCCCGGUAAACGGCGGCCGUAACUAUAACGGUCCUAAGGUAGCGAAAUUCCUUGUCGGGUAAGUUCCGACCUGCACGAAUGGCGUAAUGAUGGCCAGGCUGUCUCCACCCGAGACUCAGUGAAAUUGAACUCGCUGUGAAGAUGCAGUGUACCCGCGGCAAGACGGAAAGACCCCGUGAACCUUUACUAUAGCUUGACACUGAACAUUGAGCCUUGAUGUGUAGGAUAGGUGGGAGGCUUUGAAGUGUGGACGCCAGUCUGCAUGGAGCCGGCCUUGAAAUACCACCCUUUAAUGUUUGAUGUUCUAACGUUGACCCGUGAUCCGGGUUGCGGACAGUGUCUGGUGGGUAGUUUGACUGGGGCGGUCUCCUCCUAAAGAGUAACGGAGGAGCACGAAGGUUGGCUAAUCCUGGUCGGACAUCAGGAGGUUAGUGCAAUGGCAUAAGCCAGCUUGACUGCGAGCGUGACGGCGCGAGCAGGUGCGAAAGCAGGUCAUAGUGAUCCGGUGGUUCUGAAUGGAAGGGCCAUCGCUCAACGGAUAAAAGGUACUCCGGGGAUAACAGGCUGAUACCGCCCAAGAGUUCAUAUCGACGGCGGUGUUUGGCACCUCGAUGUCGGCUCAUCACAUCCUGGGGCUGAAGUAGGUCCCAAGGGUAUGGCUGUUCGCCAUUUAAAGUGGUACGCGAGCUGGGUUUAGAACGUCGUGAGACAGUUCGGUCCCUAUCUGCCGUGGGCGCUGGAGAACUGAGGGGGGCUGCUCCUAGUACGAGAGGACCGGAGUGGACGCAUCACUGGUGUUCGGGUUGUCAUGCCAAUGGCACUGCCCGGUAGCUAAAUGCGGAAGAGAUAAGUGCUGAAAGCAUCUAAGCACGAAACUUGCCCCGAGAUGAGUUCUCCCUGACUCCUUGAGAGUCCUGAAGGAACGUUGAAGACGACGACGUUGAUAGGCCGGGUGUGUAAGCGCAGCGAUGCGUUGAGCUAACCGGUACUAAUGAACCGUGAGGCUUAACCUU
rnacentral:rRNA from 1 species